UACAGAGACUGCAAGCGUUAUUCGGAUUCACUGGGCGUAAAGGGUGCGCAGGCGGUCGGGUGUGUCAGAUGUGAAAUCCCGAGGCUCAACCUCGGAACUGCGUCUGAAACUACUCGACUAGAGUACUGGAGAGGGAAACGGAAUUCACGGUGUAGCAGUGAAAUGCGUAGAUAUCGUGAGGAACACCAGAGGCGAAGGCGGUUUCCUGGACAGUUACUGACGCUCAGGCACGAAAGCAUGGGGAGCAAAAGGG
rnacentral:rRNA from 2 species